rnacentral:tRNA from 1 species
GCCCUAAAAGCUAAAAAGGAUAGCAGUUAAUCUUGUAAAUUAAAAGAUAAAGGUUCGAAUCCUUUGUGGGGC